rnacentral:lncRNA from 1 species
UUUGACCACAUGAAAUUGUGACUUUGAAAGGAUGUGUCUAGAUUAGUUCCUUGUAAUCAACUACAGAUUAGUUACCUCUUUUUGAAUGGCAGCUGCUUUUGCCUGAUCAGCAUUUUUUAUAGUCAAUAACUGCAGGGAAGACUGUACACACAGAAUUAUAGGAUGUUGGUGAUGUUGGUGUUAGAAUGCACCUCUGUAGGAUGUAGGCUUUUGCAUCAUGGUAGGAGAUUUGGAGACAGAGUCUUAUCUAGUUCAAGCCUGUAGUUCCACCAACUAUUAAACCAGUUUAGAAGCUUGACAUCUUAGUCUAUUUCAUUACCUAUUAAAUUCCUACCUCACAGGGUGAUUAUAGGGAACAAUUAAGAAGAAGGUGUGAAAAUAUUUUAUGAACUAUAAAGCAGGAAUACCGUAUAAAUUAUCUAUUUCAACCCUUUCAUUUGCCAGAAGAGAAACCUUAGGCUGAGAGAUUUGAAGCUUCUUUUGUUUAGAGUUUUCUAAAUCCUAGCUGAAUCUCUUUUACUAAAUCACACACUCUUGGACAACAGGGACUCAUUUUAUUCUCAUGCCCCUCACAGCAGCUAACGUGAAAAUGUGGUUCUUUAUUAGAGACAGCUCCUAUCUCAGGGGAGCACUACAAUUACUUUCUAUGACUGACCAUAGUUUAGGAAAGAAUUCCAGGCCAAAGACCUAUCUAGAACCCAAGGAUUUUGGUGGAAACCACCAGUCAUUCGAUUCCAAGCUAAUCUUUAACCUGAAGUAUCUUAAUGAUACUUAGUAAAUCCUUAGAUUCAAUGAAAAGAACCUAGCUGGCAUUUUGAUGCCACACUCAAUACAGGGGCAUUUGAAAGGAUAGAAGGACUUUAUUUCAUAGAACUUCACUCAAUUGAACUUGUCAAGAAAAUUCAGAAGAUAUUAGAUUAAUAUACAAGUAAUAAAUCCGUCACGGACCGUUGAUAGAAUCCAUGUGCAUUCCUUGAGUUGGAGGAAAAUGCUCUCAAUACAAUUUUUCCUGCAUUCUCUAAAAACAUCCAUUGGAAUUAACAUGAGAGAUAAUGCUGGACUGAACUCUGGCUGAAAUCAUUAUGAGGUAGUCUCUAUUACAGCUUUAGGAACGACCAUGCCUAUGAAACAUAGCCAUUACUGGAAUUUAUAUUUUAAGUUAUGAGCACAGUCUGGGCACGGUGGCUCAUGCCUGUAAUUUCAGCACUUUGGGAGGCCAAGGUGAGAACUGCUUGAGGCCAGGAGUUAGAGACCAGCCUAGACAACAUAGUAAAACCCCAUCUCUACAGAGAAAUAAAAAAUUAGCCAGGCGUGGUGGCAUGCCUGUAGUCCCAGUUACUCAGGAGGGUGAGGCAAGAAGAUUCCUUGAGCCCAGGAGUUCCAGGCUGCAGUAAGAUGUGAUUGUACCACUGCCUACAACCUGGGUGACAGAGUGAGACCCAAGACCCUAUCUAAAAAAAAAAGAAAAA